GACGAACGCUGGCGGCGUGCUUAACACAUGCAAGUCGAACGGUUAGGCCCUGCUUUUGUGUUGUGCUCGAGUGGCGAAAGGGGGAGUAACACGUGAGUAACCUGCCCUUUACUUUGGGAUAACUUCAGGAAAAUGGGUCUAAUACCGGAUAUGAGCUCCUGCUGCAUUGUGUGGGUUGGAAAGUUUCGGCGGUUGGCGAUGGACUCGCGGCUUAUCAGCUUGUCGGUGGGGUAGUGGCUUACCAAGGCUUUGACGGGUAGCCGGCAUGGGAGGGUGAACGGGCCCAAUGGGACUGAGAUACGGCCCAGACUCCUACGGGAGGCAGCAGUGGGGAAUAUUGCACAAUGGGCGGAAGCCUGAUGCAGCAACGCCGCGUGCGGGAUGACGGCCUUCGGGUUGUAAACCGCUUUCGCCUGUGACGAAGCGUGAGUGACGGUAAUGGGUAAAGAAGCACCGGCUAACUACGUG
rnacentral:rRNA from 1 species